GACGAACGCUGGCGGCGUGCUUAACACAUGCAAGUCGAACGGAAAGGCCCUGCUUUUGUGUGGUGCUCGAGUGGCGAACGGGUGAGUAACACGUGAGUAACCUGCCCUUGACUUUGGGAUAACUUCAGGAAACUGGGGCUAAUACCGGAUAGGAGCUCCUGCUGCAUGGUGGGGGUUGGAAAGUUUCGGCGGUUGGGGAUGGACUCGCGGCUUAUCAGCUUGUUGGUGGGGUAGUGGCUUACCAAGGCUUGGACGGGUAGCCGGCCUGAGAGGGUGACCGGCCACAUUGGGACUGAGAUACGGCCCAGACUCCUACGGGAGGCAGCAGUGGGGAAUAUUGCACAAUGGGCGGAAGCCUGAUGCAGCAACGCCGCGUGCGGGAUGACGGCCUUCGGGUUGUAAACCGCUUUCGCCUGUGACGAAGCGUGAAUGACGGUAAUGGGUAAAGAAGCACCGGCUAACUACGUG
rnacentral:rRNA from 1 species